UUCCAUCUCAUUUCAAGAACAGAAAUACAUCGAGAUGGGGCGUCCUUACUCCCAGUCUUUCCAGAUGUUCUUCCCACUCCUCAACUGCUCCUGGCUCAGAAACCCUGCACACCUGGAAGAAAGUGAGAACCAGUUUUUCAACAAACACAUUGCACAGACUUAUUGUGAACCCCGGGUGGAAUCAAGCAUCGGAGGAAGAGAACGUGACAGGGUCUUGCUGUGUCCCUAGGCUGGAGUGCAGUGGUGCAGUCUCAAUUAUGCCAGAUGGCUCUGAGGUCCAAGUAAAAGAUAAUAUUUGCAACCAACUCACUGGAGUUGACCAUCAAAACUCUUUUCCAGGUGGAAAAGCACCCUGAAUCCAGCUUCCUGCUAUGAAUGAAUACUGAGCUUGGGUUGGUGGAAAUUGAUUUUCGAGAUAAAGAAUCCAGCCAGGACUGUGAAGCCCCAGGGAAUGGCUGCACUUCAAGUCAGAAGGAGCCUGGGUCCCUGAAUCAUCAUGUGGAAGGCUCUCCACCCAGUUCAAUGGUGCAAUGGACCACAAGCAGGAACUUAAUUUAGAAUGUGCUUAUUUUGUUAGAUUUUGUAAUUAAAAAAUGGAUCCCACUCUGACUGAAUCAGAGAUGUUGAAGUCAUUGAUCUGGGAGGGUAUGUUCCUGGGAGUGGGUGGCUGAGGUGAGAUUUCAAACAAGGUUGUUGAGGAAGAGGAGUUCAAGUGACUGAGAGGACAUAUUGUUGGAUAAAUUGUGCGUGCGUGUGUGUGUGUGUGUGUGUGUGUGUUGAAAUCACCAAGAAUAGGGAAAGAAGUGUAUAAGAGAGUGUGGCAGUGAGCCCAGAGCUAAAAGAAAUCAUGAGCAGGGAGUAAUUCACGAGCAGAAAGUAGAAGCAACGAGAGGCAGUUAAUGAGAGAAGCAGCUGAGGGAUUUUAGCAAGGGAUGGG
rnacentral:lncRNA from 1 species